ACCCAGAGCAGGUUUCCAGCUCACACCGGCUGCUCCCUUUGCGUGUUUGUGCUGAAAUCGCUUUAACUACGACUCGUGCUGAAUACACUCAGACAGAUUCGCAGAAAAAUCACUGUGAGACUAAAAAUGAGCGUUCACAUUGUUUAGAGAUCCGAUACUAUUUUUCAUUAAAGCAUUCAGUAUUUUCUAGGCUCUUUGCAGGCUGGCCUCGCUCCUGCUUUGGUAACACUGUGAGCUUCUGAUGUUUCUUCUCUCCCAUCUAAAGCCUUCAAAGCCCAUUGGGGAGGCCCCUGGGCUGGGCUGGCUUUGCGCUCCUUGGUCUCCAGUUCUCCCUGUUACCUGGAGGCCCUGGAGAUCCCAAAACUCCUGCACAGAGCAGGGGCAGCUCCUCCCUCCCUGCCCACAGCAUUCCCUGGGAAAGGUGGGAGGUGGGAGCAGCUCUGGUGCUGCCUCAGUCCCCGCAGGGUUUUAUGACCCAGAGUGACCAGGUGUGACCCCACUGCUGACCAGGAGGGAGGAGGUUGGGCUGGAGGCCUCCAGAGGUGCCUUCCAUCCCAAAAUAUCCGGGGAUUGCUCCAUGUAAGAGCUGAGCUUUGCCCUGGGCCAUGCCAAAUGUCCAGCUCCUGGUUCCCACCACGGCCAGCCAUGGAUUGGGAGGUUUUGCUCCCUGUCCCAUAGAGGGAAUCACCGAGUCCCUCCUGCAGCGAAGGCAAACCCGCUCUGCUCUCUGCACCUCGAGGCCACCAGAACAAGACCCUGUUCCCCCCUCUCCCAUUGGCUCUUCCUGUGGUUUUAGGGUGGUUUGGGGGGUAUCAGGUUUUUUCUUAAAGAUCUUCAAGUUGUUACCCCAAAUCCAACUUCCGCCAAGGCUUUCUGUGUCUGAUCAGCAAAUAUCACCCGAUUAUGUGGGGAUGAAGUCAUUAUGCCUCCUCAGCAAAAACCUCCUUCUCCUGCCCCUGCAGGGGGAGGAGAGGCCUUCCCUCAGGAUUAUGGGAUUAAGGAGAGGUUUAAAAGAGAGAUCUUGCUUUGUUGCUUAAAGAGCUUAAUCUGAAAUCCCCUCCAAAGUGAGUGGGGCUUUGCAAACGCUGAGUAAGGGAUUGGAGCUGAUCCCUGCCCGGGCCCACCCAGCCUGGGAGCUCCAGGUGGGAUCAGCCCCCGGGCAGAGCCUUGGAGCACUCCUGGUGUCCUUCUUGCUGGCUGAUCCCCCUGCUUUUCUCCUGGGAUGUGCUUUGGCACAGCUGGAUGGGCCCCCCCUGCUCCAGGGAUUCCGGCCUUGGGUGGAACUCACAGAGCAGCCUCGGGAUGAGCCUAAACAUCCCUGAUCCAUGGGAUUUGCCACUGGAUAUGGCUGAGCUGCCUCUCAAGGCAUCUCCCCCGUGCUUCACCCCGCCCUGGAGAAGUUCCAGCAGGCCCAGGAGGUCUCCAGGCGUGGUUUGGAUGGAGCUGCCCAUGCCCAGAUCCCACUCCAUCAGUGGCUUUCCCUGCUCCAGCCCUUCCCCAGACGCUGCUCUGGGGGGACAACGGCCAAACACCCACCAGCCAAAGGCAGGUGGGAAAUCGUGGGACAGCUGUGUGUACCUGCUGCAUCUAUUUCUAUUUCUAUUUCUAUUUCUAUUAUUUCUAUUUCUAUUUCUAUUUCUCCACUCGCCAAGGCACGAGAGCUACGGAUGUGCUUGCAAAAAGCUCUCUGAGCUCCCAGCCAGCAGAGGAGCUGCUGCUGGGAUGAAUCCAUCCAGUUCAGGCCAAAACACCCCAAAAGCGGCUCUGUCUCCUCAGCAAUAGUUUGCCGUGUUCUGCCUCUAAACCUCUGUGUGCGUUUCUGGCCCAGAGGAGGAGCUCUGGCCGUGGGCCUGUCCCACACUGUGGGGAAUCGCACCCAGAGCAUCUCCCGAUGGAAGGAGCUGGGGACAGCUCUGCCUCCUUCUUCCUCCCAGCCAGAGCCCCAGUCCCAGCUGGAGCUCUCCCGGCAGCCCCGGGCACAGGUGGGAAUUCCUCAGCAGCUUUCACCUCUUUCGGAGGGUCGGGAACAGAGCUGGGACACUGACAGGCCUCUGUCACCGACGGAAAUCCAGGAGGCUCCACUGAGGGGCUGCAAAGCCCUUCCCGAGCUUUUCCUGAUGUUUGUGUUUGCCUUUCAGUUCGUGCUCCCCAGGACUGCCCUUUGUAUUCCAAAGAAAACACUUUGGGGGGAUUUGGGGGAGUUCUCGGUGUGUCGAGCUGUCACAGGUGAGCGUAGAGCCACAGAGUAUUUGGGGUUGGAAGGGACCCUAAAGCUCAACUGUCCCAGCCCCUGCCAUGGGCAGGGACACCUUCCAGCAUCCCAGAGCCCCAUCCAGCCUGGCCUGAGGUGUUUCCAGGGAUCCCGGGACAGCCACCAAACAACAGAGCAAUGCAAUAGGAACAUCCAGGCUGGGAAGAUUGUCCCCCCCAGUGCUGGGCACCGCUGUAGGCGCAGCUCCAGGGACACCUCAGCGGCCUGUGGCUGCUUGAGCCCCAGUUAAAUUCCAGCUGGCAGGUGCAGGGAUGGGAUCUGCGGCAGCUAUUCCCAAAGAUGCUGCCGGGAGUGGGACCAGCACUGCUGGGAAGCCACCACAGCUCCUCCCUGAGCAUUCCCAAAGCCUGGGAAACAUUCCUGGCAGCUCCCAGACAAUUCCACCUUGUGUUUCACCACGCUGGACACCGCAGUGUCACCCUGUCCCCUCCUACUGGCCGUGUGCUAGUGCCAGAGGCGGCUGCCAGCCCAGCCUAGCCCAGCGCCAGGCUCUGGACAUUAAAAUUGCGUGGAGCUCUCCCAAGGUGUGGUGAAAGGUGUGUGGAGGCUCUCUCCUUCCUCCUGCUCUUCCGUGGAUGCAACGUUGCCAGAAGAACUCCGGGGAAAGUGUGUGUGAGUGCAAACCAGGGCAAGGCAGGGCGAGAAGAGGAAUUCAAGGAGAUCUGCAGCUCCCAGGAGGCUGCCCUAAAAGAAGGCGCCAGGCCGGGAUGAAUGAUGCAUGAGAUCCGAGCCUGGGCACGGCAGGGAGGGGGAAGGAAGGGUGGAGGAAAUGGGGAAGCGGAUGGGAGGGACGAGUGGAAGAGCCAGACAAGCAGGGACGGCGUUUAGCAGGAGCAGCUUCGUGUUUGCAAGGGGGAAACAAAAUAAAUCCGUGCAACCGAACCAAAAACCUUGGGGCAGAAAUUCCAGGCUGCGAGAUCGGGCUGUAAAUCUGCUGUGCGCUGCAAGGAGAGGCAGCUCCAGGACGUUCAUCAGCUCCCUUUGCACGGGGCAGGAGCCCAUAAACAUCCCCAUAAACCCCGGUGUUGCUGUGGCUCCAGGUUAUCCGGGGUCUCAUGCACUUCCCAUGCGGAUCCAGCCCGGCUCCAGAGGUUCCAGGUGCCCCUGGAGGAUGGUCCAAGUUCCCUGAGCUCUGCCUGCUGGACCCCACUGCCCUCUUGUGCUCUGGUCCUGUCCUGGGGUGCUUCAGCCGAGGAAUGGAUCCAAACAAAGCCUUGCUACGAGACUUUAAA